GUGGGUAUAGUUCAGUGGUAGAGCGCAAGAUUGUGGAUCUUGAUGUCGUGGGUUCGAGACCCACUAUCCACCCCA
rnacentral:tRNA from 1 species